rnacentral:rRNA from 1 species
UGCAGUCGCACGAGAACGCUUCAGCUUGCUGAAGUUAGUAAAGUGGCGCACGGGUGAGUAACGCGUGGGUAAUCUACCCCCGAAUUGGGGAUAACCCGCCGAAAGGCGGGCUAAUACCGGAUAAUAUCUUAAAAACCUCGGUUUUAAAGAUCAAAGGUGGCCUCUACAUGUAAGCUUCUGUUUGGGGAUGAGCCCGCGUACCAUUAGCUUGUUGGUAGGGUAAUGGCCUACCAAGGCUGCGAUGGUUAGCUGGUCUGAGAGGAUGAUCAGCCACACUGGAACUGACACACGGUCCAGACUCCUACGGGAGGCAGCAGUGAGGAAUUUUGCGCAAUGGGGGAAACCCUGACGCAGCAACGCCGCGUGAGUGAUGAAGGCUUUCGGGUCGUAAAGCUCUGUCAAGUGGGAAGAACCCACAUGGUGAUAAUACCGCCAUGUGUUGACGGUACCACUGAAGGAAGCACCGGCUAACUCCGUGCCAGCAGCCGCGGUAAUACG